ensembl:processed_transcript Gm14455 predicted gene 14455
AUGACGCACACAACCAGCGCCCCGCGAAAGGGGCGGGGUCGCCGCGCGAGGCCUUGGUCCACACCAAUUGUCUUGAAAAUCUUGUCCGGGAGUUGGGCGUGGUUUCAGGGCGACGUGCUGGAGCAUCCUUGGAGUGCGUCCACUUCCGGUCGUGGGCGGUCCCUGUUUUUUCCACUGUGGUUCCUUCUGUUUAAAAAGGAGCUUCCCAUUGGCAAUGACGAUGGAGGUAAACCUCUUGACGUCUUCUGGAACUAUUCGUGCAGUGGCGACAAACCUCUCCAGGUCAUCCAGGCUGUUUUGGACUUUGUCUGUCACAAGAACUUCCAGGGACCAAUUGCAGUGGUCCAAGCUUCCCUUGGCAUCCACCAGUGUCUGGUAGGAGCUAGAGAUUGUCUGGAGCUGAUCUCUAAUUCUAGCCUGAAGGUAGCUGUCUGUGAGAUUGCAAGCGGUCCCACCAACCCCUUGGGCAAAAUCCAGAAAUUCUCUUACAGAUUCCUCUACGUGGUCAGCGGCCCUGCGGAUUCUGUGGAUGUUGGUUUCCAAGGAGUCUUUGAACCUCCAAGUCCUGCUUACAAAGAGCAGCAGGCCCGCCGCCGAGCUGGCCACUUUGUGUUGCAGAGACACUGCUGUCUCCUUUGCAAAGUCCACGUCCAUCCAUAGCUCCUUGACGGAGUCCUCUGAGGAGGAGCCAGAGGAGGAGUCCAUGGAUAUGGAGGAGCAGGAAGACACCACACUAGCCCUGCUGUCUGAGCUGGCAACAGAUAAUCGGUCCGAGUCAGGAGACAGGAAACUUGUCUGUCCGGAGAUCCAGGGGGAAUUUUCUGGAGCCUCUCUGCCUCUCUCCAGCUCCUUUCCAGCCAGAGACACACCCUGCAUGGCUUUAGGGGUGUCGUAAAUGUUAGGCAUGGUGUUCUGUUGCUCCACUCUGGGAAUGAGAAACCUGGAAGGGACCUUGUAGCUGCCACCUGCAUCAGAGGGCAGUGGGUCCCUGGACGUUGGGAAGGCAUAGGUAGGUUCUUCUGGGAGGCUGUUUUUUCUCUGCACAGUGUUCCCCAGCUGUGGGGAGAGGGCCACAGCUCCAGUGUGGACAGCAGAGGAGCCUGGAAUGGCUCUGGAACCUGAGUCUUUGGUGAAGCUGGUCAUAGACACAUUUCUGACAUCGGCCUUUUCCAGCAACACUGGAGUGUCAUGAAUCCGUUCUGACUUCUGAGGGCUGGAUAACGGGUUAUAGCCACCACCUUGUCUGAAGGCCAUUGUCGGUGCCAAUGUAACAUCCCGUCCCUGGAGGAAAAAAACACACACACACAAAGUUGUCCCCGGUUAGUAACAAUCAAACGAGAAUCCGACAGGCCCUUGACAUCCGAGUACACUGUUUUGCUCAGGUUCCUUCAGUGUGCCCUCCCCACCCCCAUUGCUCUUGUCACUCAAGGGCUCUCCCAAUCUGGCUUCUCCCUCUGUCAAACCUCCUUUCUCUGCACUUCCACAGCCGCCCAUCUCUGUCUGCACACUCAUGAUGGUUUGAACUAGAAUAACCCCCAUGGACUCCUAUAUCCGAAUGCUUGGUUCCCAGUUGGCUAGACCGUCUGGGAGGAUUGAAUGUGGCCUUGUUGGAGGAAAUGGGUCACAAAGGAAAGCUUUCUUCCACCAUCCCCUGUGUGCUCUCUGCCCCCCUGCUUAUGACUUAAGAUGUAAGCUUUCAACUGUUCCUGCUGCCAUGGCUCCGUUAUGCCAUCCUGGGGUCAAACCCUCUGGAGCCACCAGCCCAAUGGACUGCUGGAUUUUAUAGGUUACCUUGGUCAUGGCAUUUUGUCACAGCAAAGGAACUAAUCCCACCCACCCACUUUCCCAAAUUGCUUUUCUUCCUCUCAGUUCAGAAAACACACCCAUACCCUCGAGUUGCCUCUACUUGUCCCGAUCCUGCUACUGGGCCUUGAACCUUUUCUUUUGCAUCUAAAAAAACCACUACACAGCACUCAUGAUAUCGUCGAAACGCAUCAAAGUUGGACGAUUCCCCCUAUUCCUCUAUGUGUUAUACAAAUUAUCUCACAGAAUAGUCCUGAACAUCUGUAGUAAAAAUGCAGGCAUGGGGAAGUUAAAUGACAUAGCCAAACCAC